GCAGCACGACCGGAGGUUCGACAAUGAGCGGUGGGGUGCGGUCGAUAGUGGCCAGCAGUGGGUGGCCAGCGGCGAGGGUCGAACGGCGGCCAAAUCAAGGGGAAAAAAAUCAAAAAUUGAGAACUUCUUUAUGGUGGAUUUUUGGUGAAGUCGGCGGCCGACGGUGAGGUAUGGGGCCAUGGGGAGAAAGAUAAGAGGGAGAGGAA
rnacentral:lncRNA from 1 species